rnacentral:rRNA from 2 species
CGGCGUGCCUAAUACAUGCAAGUCGAACGAGUUCUCGUUGAUGAUCGGUGCUUGCACCGAGAUUCAACAUGGAACGAGUGGCGGACGGGUGAGUAACACGUGGGUAACCUGCCCUUAAGUGGGGGAUAACAUUUGGAAACAGAUGCUAAUACCGCAUAGAUCCAAGAACCGCAUGGUUCUUGGCUGAAAGAUGGCGUAAGCUAUCGCUUUUGGAUGGACCCGCGGCGUAUUAGCUAGUUGGUGAGGUAAUGGCUCACCAAGGCGAUGAUACGUAGCCGAACUGAGAGGUUGAUCGGCCACAUUGGGACUGAGACACGGCCCAAACUCCUACGGGAGGCAGCAGUAGGGAAUCUUCCACAAUGGACGCAAGUCUGAUGGAGCAACGCCGCGUGAGUGAAGAAGGCUUUCGGGUCGUAAAACUCUGUUGUUGGAGAAGAAUGGUCGGCAGAGUAACUGUUGUCGGCGUGACGGUAUCCAACCAGAAAGCCACGGCUAACUACGUGCCAGCAGCCGCGGUAAUACGUAGGUGGCAAGCGUUAUCCGGAUUUAUUGGGCGUAAAGCGAGCGCAGGCGGUUUUUUAAGUCUGAUGUGAAAGCCCUCGGCUUAA